GCAGUCGUACGAGAGUUUUUAACUCAAGUGGCGGACGGGUGAGUAACACGUGCGAAUUUGCCUUUAGGAGGGGGAUAACAACUGGAAACGGUUGCUAAUACCCCAUAUGCUUUCGAGUGAAAUAGAUUUAUCUGCCUAAAGAGAAGCUCGCGGCUGAUUAGCUUGUUGGUAAGGUAAUGGCUUACCAAGGCGACGAUCAGUAUCUGGUUUGAGAGGACGAUCAGACACACUGGAACUGAGACACGGUCCAGACUCCUACGGGAGGCAGCAGUGGGGAAUUUUCCGCAAUGGGCGAAAGCCUGACGGAGCAAUACCGCGUGAGGGAAGACGGCCCAUGGGUUGUAAACCUCUUUUUUCAGGGAGGAAUUCAAUGACGUGUACCUGAAGAAUAAGCAUCGGCUAACUCCGUGCCAGCAGCCGCGGUAAGACGGAGGAUGCAAGUGUUAUCCGGAAUCACUGGGCGUAAAGCGUCUGUAGGUGGUCAAAUAAGUCAACUGUUAAAUCUUGAGGCUCAACCUCAAAAUCGCAGUCGAAACUAUUAGACUAGAGUAUAGUAGGGGUAAAGGGAAUUUCCAGUGGAGCGGUGAAAUGCGUAGAGAUUGGAAAGAACACCGAUGGCGAAGGCACUUUACUGGGCUAUUACUAACACUCAGAGACGAAAGCUAGGGUAGCAAAUGGGAUUAGAUACCCCAGUAGUCCUAGCUGUAAACGAUGGAUACUAGAUGUUGAACAGAUCGACCUGUGCAGUAUUAAAGCUAACGCGUUAAAGUAUCCCGCCUGGG
rnacentral:rRNA from 1 species